AGCACCCCAACUUGUAUGACAUCUGUUAAGAGGAGGGGAUCAGCAGGUGUGGUGGAAUCCUUGAUACUUUUGAAAUCACAUGACAAUAUGCAUGCUCCAUUUACUCAGGUUCCACCAAUUAUGACAAAAGACAUGCAUGAAAAAAGGCUCCAUGCAUUUGAAGUCUUGGGUGAUUCUUUUGUGAGUUGUCACAUCACAUAUAGGAUAUUAUAUAAAAUAAAUUUCUUCGCUGAAAAUUGUGUAUAAUUUUUGUCAGAGCUUCUUCAGGCAAUUAGAGAAGGACAUCUUAUCUUCAGGUACUACAUAAAAUGGUGUUUUUAUCUCUGAUGACUCUCCUAACUUUUUGUUGUUUGAUGAUUUUAUGGACCCAAAUAGAGAAGGAGAAAAGGUACAUUUUUUUAUUUUUACACAUUUACCCUCCAUGAUCAAUGAAACUAACAUCAUCCAAUAUCUAUACAGACACUUCAUUAUCUAGAAACAGUAAGACCACAUCAAUUACUGGAGCAAAUGGUGUGUACUGCUUUCAGAGCUGCAGCUGACACUCUUAACCAGACUAGAUUUGGUGGGUUAAAGAACAUGACAAUAAAAAUUCACUAAUUAUACUUCACCAAUGCUUCUGCAUUGAAGCCUUUGCAAGCGAACAAGCUACCGGGUGAUAUGGAAAUAAUCCAAGAUGUAAAACGGCUAUGUGUUGUAUUUGAACAUGUGGAGAAGCUGCUAACACUUGGCAGUGGUAGUGGGAAUCAAUGGAGUCACCAACAGGGGGAGAUUGAGACUCAUAGGAUUCUUCUAAGUGACAAAAUUCAAUGUUUGUAGGAUAAAUGAAUUAAAUGCUAGAUUUUAAAGAUGGCAUUAUGUAAUCUCUCUAGGUUUAAGAGCCUGUGACAACAAGCUGUAAUUGGCAGCUAGAAAGCAAAGUUGUUGCUUAUUAAUUAAUAGUUAAUAUCAUCUAGUUUAUCCACUUAUUCUACACUUCUUAUGUUCUUAUUGGUCAUGGAGGUGGUACGAUGCAAGUAUCCUGUCCAUAUAGUUGUUUGUAUGUCCCUUCACACUCUCUGUAGUUGCUUUAUGUUCUCCUAAACUUUUUAUUCUUCUUAAUUCUUUUCACAGGGUGAUCAUAAUUUUCCCGGAAUAAUACCUUUGGAUAGAUCGAAGGACGAAGAAGAACAAAGUUGUGGUGAUCUUCAGUGAUUGAAGGGAAGAAGGAGUACAAUCGGGGUUGUGAAAUUGAUGGGAAAGAAGAAAAGAAACAGAAGGCGUUGCUGCCCUUGAUGGUUAGCUAAAGAAUAAGAAGGGAACAAAAAGAGUACAGUGUUUCCCUUACUAGAAUGUGAACUCUAUAAGGGCACCCUUCUUUUUCCUAUUUUUCUGAUCAGGGGAAAAGAAGAAGAAUAACAACGAAAUUCCAUCGAUUUCUUUUUAAAUCUCAUAGGUUCUGAUGGU